rnacentral:lncRNA from 1 species
AGUUGUCAUAUCCUAGACAGGCUGUCACGAUUUCCGUGCAGCGCCAAACGCCAACCACUCCGACAGCAGCAGCAGGUUCCAGCUGUGGUAGUUGCCGGACAAAUUCUUGGCUCUCCAUUUUAGAAUAUAAAUUAGUUGGCAUAGGAACACACGUCCCUAGGUUGCGUGCAUUGCGCCGGGUUCGCCUCUCACUCCAGUUUUAUGCGAGUAUCUGUCCAACCUUGAACUUGC